CCUACGGGAGGCAGCAGUGAGGAAUAUUGGUCAAUGGACGAGAGUCUGAACCAGCCAAGUAGCGUGAAGGAUGACUGCCCUAUGGGUUGUAAACUUCUUUUAUAUGGGAAUAAAAUGUUCCACGUGUGUGAUUUUGUAUGUACCAUACGAAUAAGGAUCGGCUAACUCCGUGCCAGCAGCCGCGGUAAUACGGAGGAUCCGAGCGUUAUCCGGAUUUAUUGGGUUUAAAGGGAGCGUAGGUGGAUUGUUAAGUCAGUUGUGAAAUUUUGCGGCUCAACCGUAAAAUUGCAGUUGAGACUGGCAGGCUUGAGUACAGUAGAGGUAGGCGGAAUGCAUGGUGUAGCGGUGAAAUGCUUAGAGAUCACAAAGAACUCCGAUUGCGAAGGCAGCUCACUAAACUGCAACUGACACUGAGGCUCGAAAGUGUGGGUAUCAAACAGGAUUAGAUACCCUUGUAGUC
rnacentral:rRNA from 1 species